rnacentral:rRNA from 1 species
UACAGAGGUCUCAAGCGUUGUUCGGAUUCAUUGGGCGUAAAGGGUGCGUAGGUGGCGCCGUAAGUCAGGUGUGAAAUUUCGGAGCUUAACUCCGAAACUGCAUUUGAUACUGCGGUGCUUGAGGGCUGGAGAGGGGACUGGAAUUUACGGUGUAGCAGUGAAAUGCGUAGAGAUCGUAAGGAAGACCAGUGGCGAAGGCGGGUCUCUGGACAGUUCCUGACACUGAGGCACGAAGGCCAGGGGAGCAAACGGG